UUCGAAGAUUAAAUUGAGGUAUGAAUUUAGAAUUUGGAAUUCUAAUUAGGUUUUGUAGUAUUGAGUUCGUAUUGAGGACGAAACACUUUUAAGGUGGGAAGGAUGUGAGGAAGUGAAUUCUCGAAACUCGAGGGUUAGACUUCGAAUAGAAUCGACUAGUUGUCGAGUGUGUAAGUGUAAAGUACCGGACUUCUAAAACAAUGAAGUUACGGUGCACAUUUGAAUGAUUCCGGUGAGGUUGCGGUGGAAUGUAAUAUACCGGAUUUUUAAUAUAAAAGUGAAAUAUAAGUUGGGAAUGACCUGUGCUGAAAUCGGGAUGAAAACAGAAGAUCUGAAAUUUUC
rnacentral:lncRNA from 1 species